rnacentral:rRNA from 1 species
CCUACGGGUGGCAGCAGUCGAGAAUCAUUCACAAUGGGGGAAACCCUGAUGGUGCGACGCCGCGUGGGGGAAUGAAGGUCUUCGGAUUGUAAACCCCUGUCAUGUGGGAGCAAAUUCAAAAGAUAGUACCACAAGAGGAAGAGACGGCUAACUCUGUGCCAGCAGCCGCGGUAAUACAGAGGUCUCAAGCGUUGUUCGGAAGCACUGGGCGUAAGGCGUGCUUAGGCUGUUUCGUAAGUCGUGUGUGAAAGGCGCGGGCUCAAGCCGCGGACGGCACAUGAUACUGCGAGACUAGAGUAAUGGAGGGGGAACCGGAAUUCUCGGUGUAGCAGUGAAAUGCGUAGAUAUCGAGAGGAACACUCGUGGCGAAGGCGGGUUCCUGGACAUUAACUGACGCUGAGGCACGAAGGCCAGGGGAGCGAAAGGGAUUAGAUACCCGAGUAGUC